UUUGGAGGGCAAGUCUGGUGCCAGCAGCCGCGGUAAUUCCAGCUCCAAUAGCGUAUAUUAAAGUUGUUGCAGUUAAAAAGCUCGUAGUUGAAUUUCGGGGUUAGCAGGUCGGUCGUGCCAUCGGUAUGAACUGGUCUCGCUGAUCCCUCCCUCUUGAAGAACUGUGAUGCCAUUAAUUUGGUGUCGCAGGGAAUCAGGACUGUUACUUUGAAAAAAUUAGAGUGUUUAAAGCAGGCUCACGCUUGAAUACAUUAGCAUGGAAUAAUGAAAUAGGACAUCCGAUUCUAUUUUGUUGGUUUCUAGGAUCGAUGUAAUGAUUAAUAGGGAUAGUUGGGGGCAUUAGUAUUCAAUUGUCAGAGGUGAAAUUCUUGGAUUUAUUGAAGACUAACUACUGCGAAAGCAUUUGCCAAGGAUGUUUUCAUUAAUCAAGAACGAAAGUUAGGGGAUCGAAGACGAUCAGAUACCGUCGUAGUCUUAACCAUAAACUAUGCCGACUAGGGAUCGGAUGAUGUUAAUUUUUUAAUGACUCAUUCGGCGCCUUACGGGAAACA
rnacentral:rRNA from 1 species